rnacentral:misc_RNA from 1 species
UCUCCGUAGGUGAACCUGCGGAAGGAUCAUUACAGAGUUCAUGCCCUCACGGGUAGAUCUCCCACCCUUGAAUAUUUAUACCUUAGUUGCUUUGGCAGGCCGUGGAAACACCAUGGGCUCCGGCUUAUGCGUGCCUGCCAGAGGAAACAAACUCUGUUUUUAGUGAUGUCUGAGUACUAUAUAUUAGUUAAAACUUUCAACAACGGAUCUCUUGGUUCCGGCAUUGAUGAAGAACGCAGC